rnacentral:rRNA from 1 species
AUUGAACGCUAGCGGGAUGCUUUACACAUGCAAGUCGAACGGCAGCGCGGACUUCGGUCUGGCGGCGAGUGGCGAACGGGUGAGUAAUGUAUCGGAACGUGCCCAGUAGCGGGGGAUAACUACGCUAAAGCGUAGCUAAUACCGCAUACGCCCUACGGGGGAAAGCAGGGGAUCGUAAGACCUUGCACUUUUUGACCUGCCGAUAUCGGAUUUGCUAGUUGGUGUGGUAACGGCUCACCAAGGCGACGAUCCGUAGCUGGUUUGAGAGGACGACCAGCCAAACUGGAACUGAGACACGGACAAGACUACUAAGGGAGGCAGCAGUGGGGAAUUUUGGACAAUGGGGGAAACCCUGAUCCAGCAAACCCGAGUGUGAGAUGAAGGACUACGGGUUGUAAAGAAAUUUUGGCAGGAAAGAAAAGAAGCGGGAUAAUAACACGUGGAAAUGACGGUACCUGAAGAAUAAGCAACGGCUAACUACGUG